rnacentral:tRNA from 1 species
GUGUGUAUGGUGUAAGUAACACGCUAGCUUUUCAUGCUAAAGAUAUAUAAAUAUAUUACACACC